UGCCACAGCUAUAUCACCCUGCAGCCCAAGACUGGUGCUCUUUGAAGCUAAGCAGGACUGAGCCUGGUCAGUACUUGGAUGGGAGACCACAUGGGAAAAACUAGGUUGCUGUUGGAA
ensembl:rRNA 5S_rRNA 5S ribosomal RNA